rnacentral:lncRNA from 10 species
GAGUAACAUAAGAUGAAAUGUCUUGUUAAGAAUCUUAGGAAUGUUUAUAUUCUAGUAGCUAGACUGUCAGGAUGUUUCAUUAUGCAGUGAGCCUGAGCCACUUUUUAUUUCUCAUAAUGAUUUCUUCAUAGCUGUAUAGCUUCAUAGCUCUGUGGGAUCUGCAUUGGAAGGGUAGGAAUUUCAGUUCUUCCACAAAUGACAAUAGUCAAUGUGAGAAGGAAUGGGGAAAUGUCAAGGCAGUAAACAAAUGUAAAAAUCUCCUUGUCCUUCUUCCCAACAGCUGCCAGUCACAGGAUAUCCACCACAAGACACCCCUGAGAACAAAAGUUAGCCAUCCCUUCGAGCUUGUCAUCUUCAUAGAGGAUUCACAGCGGGCAGGAUCACAAGACUGGCUACCUGAGUACCUUCCCCAUAAUGGCCAAUAACUUCAGAAGAGAGGUGGCCUACUCUGAAAUCACAGUCUCAGGCAAAACUGAAGAUAAGGGAAAGCCACUCCUUCCUGCAGAGGGAUACAGCACAAGGCUCAAGUCUGGCUUUAUCAAAAGAUGUCACUUGAAUUUUAACUAGAAAGCUUUUAUGGCCUUUCCAGCGGAUAUGGUUUGGUUAUGUCCCCACCCAAAACUCAUCUUGAAUUGUAAUAAUACCCACGUGUCAAUGAUGGGACCAGGUUGAGAUAAUUGAAUCAUAAGGGCAGUUUCCCCUAUGCUGUUCCCGUGAUAGUGAGUGAGUUCUCAUGAGAUUUGAUGGUUUUAUAAGGGGCUUCCAGGCUUCCUCCUUCGCUUGGCUCCCAUUGUGUCUCUUGCUGACAUGUAAGGGAGUACUGUUUGCUUCCCCUUCCACCAUGAUUGUAAGUUUCUUGAGGCCUCCCCAACCAUGCAAAACUUUGAGUCAAUUAAACCUCUUUUCUUUAUAAAUUAUCCAGUCUCGGGUAUGUCUUUAUUAGCAGCAUGAGAACAGACUAAUAAACCAACCCAGUAAUUGCCCUCUCCAUGGCCAAAGGUAUAAUGUGAAGAUGAGUCCAAAGGGUCACUUGUUAAAGACCUGUGAGUUUAAGUCUUCCAUAAGACCUGAUAUAUGGCCAGUAGUAAUUCUAUUAAGGUUUGGGUUUGUUUGUUUUUCUUUGGUGGGGUUGGGGGGGAAUUUUGUUGUUGUUUUUGUUGUUUUUGAUAGAAGGCAGGUUUGUUUGUUUUUGUUUUUGUUUUUCCAUCAGAAGCCCAUGGGCAAUUAAUGGCCAUCUUGAGUAGGUACAAAGUUCCAAAAAGCAUGGUGCCUUCCUUGUCUUGUUCCAGUUCUCAAGGAGAAUGCUUCCAGUUUGUUCCCAUUCACUAUGAAGUUGACCGUGGGUUUGUAAUAGAUGGCUCUUAUUACUGUGAGGUAUGUUCCCUUGCUGGCUAGUCUGUUGAGAGUUUUUAUUAUGAAGGGAUGUUUGAUUUUAAUUCUGUUUAUGUGGUGAAUCACAUUUAUUGAUUUACAAAUGGUGAAACAAUCUUGCAUCCCAGGAAAGAAGUCUGAUUAAUCAUGGUGAGUUAAGUUUUGAUGUGAUAUUGGAUUUGGUUUGCUAUUAUUUUGUUGAGGGCUUUUGUGUCUCUAUUCAUCAGAGAUAUUGGCUUGUAGCUUUCUUCUUCGGAUUGCUUUGCUGGAUUUGGUAUAUUAUUGGAAGUGCUAGCCAUCCCAUCAGGAAAGAGGAAUAAAAGAUAUUCAAAUAGGAAAAGAAGUCAAACUAUCUCUCUUUGUGGAUGACAUAAUUGAUAUAAUUGUAUACCUAGAAAACCUUAAGGACUUUACAAAAAGGCUCCUGGAACUGAUACAUGACUUUAGUAAAGUUUGUGCAUAUAAAAUCAAUGUACAAAAAUUAGUAGCAUUUUUCUAUGCCAAUAACAUUCAAGCUGAAAACAAAAUCAGAAAAAUCCCAUUUAUAACAGCCACAAAAAAUUAAAACACAAGAAUAUAUAUAACCAAGGAGGUGAAUGAUAUCUACAAGGAGAAAUGCAAAACACUACUAAAAGAAAUUAUAGAUGACACAAACAAGUGGAUAAACAGUCCUUUCCCAUAGAGUGGAAAAUUCAAUAUUGCUAAAAUGGUCAUACUGCCAAAAGAAACUUCCAGAUUCAAUGCUAUUUCUAUCAAACUACCAAUGACAUUUUUUAUACAACUAGAGAAAACUAUUUUAAAAUUCAUAUGAAACUAAAAAAGAGCCCAUAUAGCCAAAGCAACCCUAAGCAAAAACAGCAAAACCAGAAGCAUCACAUUACCUGACUUCAAACUACACUAUAAGGCAACAGUAACCAAACAGCAUUGUACUGGUAUAAAGAGAGACACAUAUACCAAUGAAACAGAACAGAGAACCCAGAAAUAAAGCUACACACCUACAGCCAUCUGAUCUUUGACAAAGUUGACAAAAAUAAGGAAUGGGAAAAGAAUCCCCUAUUCUAUUACUAGUGCUGGGAUAACUGGCUAGCUAUGUGCAGAAGAAUGAAAUUGGACCCAUACCUUACACCAUAUACAAAUAUUAACUCGAAAUGGAUUAAAGAUUUAAACAUAAGACCUCAAACUGUAAGAGUCCUGAAGAAAACCCAGGAAAUACUCUUCCUGACAUUAGCUUUGGGAAAUAAUUUAUGAUUAAGUUUUCAAAAGGAAUUGCAACAAAACAAAAAUUGACAAGUGGAACCUAAUUAAACUAAUGAGCUUCUGCACUGCAAAAGAAGCCAUCAACAGAGUAAACAGACAACCUACCAAAGGAGAGAAAAUAUCUCAAACUAUUCAUCCAACAAAGGUCUAAUAUCCAGAAACGAUAAGAAACUUAAACAAUUAAACAAGAAAAAAACAAAUAACCCCAUUAAAAAUGGGCAUAGGACAUGAAAAGAUACUUUUCCAAAGCAGACAUACAUGCUACCAAAACAAUGUGUGAAAAAUGAUCCAUAUCACUCACAUCACUAAUCACCAGAGAAAUGCAAUUCAAAAACCACAAUGAGAUACCAUCUCAUACUGGUCAGAAUAGCUAUGAUUAAAAAAUCAAUAAACAACAAAUGCUGGCAGAGAAAGGGAAAUGCUUAUACACUUUACGUGGGAAAGUAAAUUAGUUCAACCACUGUGGAAAGUAGUUUGGAAAUUCUCAAUGAACUUAGAACUACUAUUUUACCUGGCAAUACCAUUGCAGGAUAUAUAUACAAAAGAAAACAAAUCAUUUUUUCUUUUCCCCAAGAUUGUGGAUUGGAAGCAGUGUUAGCAUGCCUCUCCCACUUGGAAGGAAAGAAUAAUGUGUAGAGAUUCACACUGUGAACUUUUUUCUAAGAAACAAUGCAGGAACUUAAUAGGAAAACCAAAAGAAUCCACAGACCCUUUGAAAGAAGGAGCAUGCUGAAGCCUACUCCACGAGACCAGUGAAAAACUCUUAAGUCCCUAGAGUGUGAGAGGCAUAGAGACUUCUUCCAGAAUACACAUUCCCACAGGGAACCUGAAAAUACAUGCCAUGAGAGAAGGCUUUAACCUCACCCAGAGCUGGAAUUGAUGUAGAGAGUGGUGAGAAAUAUAAAAGUAGAAGUAGCAAUGGGAAAUGGCUUGCAGGCAUUCCCAGGCUCCAGCAUGGGCCACGGGAAGCCAUUCCUGAUUAUAUCUCACUGGCUACCUGGCCUUAUAGGCAGAUGGGGAGGGACAUGGCCUGUAAGCCAUGCUAUCUCUGCAGGGAAAGCUUAUGGCUUGGGGCAGGUCUGAGUUCUGUAUGCAGACUGCCUGGAUCUUAACCUGGUGCUAUUAGCAAAGCACUGAGGGAAUGAGAGCUGCCUUGCCAACUGUAUAGGAUUUGGGUGAGGCUUACUGCUGCCUGCUAUCCCCUACUCCCUUUGCAAACUCUUCUGUGCAGCAGAGGCAGUUAUUUCCUCUCUGGAAUCUUAACCUAGUGGCCUGAGAAGCAUCCCCUGACUCUCACAGGGGCUGUGGCUUGCCCCUUUCAAAGAGAUUUCAAAAUGAAGACCCACCUAAACUUGCCCCCAUCUAGCGGUGCCCCUCCACCCUCCCUGGUAGCUUAACACAAAGAACAUAAACUUUUAAGAAUUUUAUAGUCCCACCAAUCCCGUAAGAAACCAGAACACUUCCCCGGGGAAAUUUAGGGCAUGCUCAAAUCCCACCGCUACUACCACAGCUGGUGCUUUUUUGCAAGAACCACCUCCCGGCUGGAGGCUAACUGAUACAGUCUAUUGCAGCAUCUCUAGGUAAAAUAACACUGCACUCAGGAAAGAGAAAAUGGCUGCAUGACCUCAGCUCUCCUCACUGACUGCAACACCAUGGCUAACCCGAGAUCCUGAGUUUGUCUGCAAAACAAGUUCACUACGAUUAUAACUUGCAUAAAAGAAAGCCAGCACACUAGGCCAAGGCAGGAGGAUCUCGAGGUCAAGAGAUAGAGACCAUCCUGGCUAACACAAUGAAACCCCCUCUCUACUAAAAAAAAAAAAAAAAAAAAAAAAAAAAUUAGCUGGGCAUGGUGGCGGGCGCCUGUAAUCCCAGCUACUCAGGAGGCUGAGGCAGGAGAAUGGAGUGAACCCGGGAGGCGGACCUUGCAGUGAGCCCAGAUCGUGCCAGUGCACUCCAGCCUGGCGACAGACCGAGAUUCUGUCCAAAAAAAAAAAAAGAAAAGAAAAGAAAAAAAGAAAAAAAGAAAGCCAGCACACUAAGCCUAUCUACAUUGAAGGAAUCUCACAGUCUACGUCACUCCCCUGCCACCUCCAUCAGGGUUGGUGCUGGUAUCCAUUGAUGGGAAUGUUGAACACAGCUCGCAUCACUGGACCCCUUGCAGACAUUCCCUAGCACCAACCUAGAGUGUGGCAGUGUUAUUAGAUGGCUAGACCCAGAAGAGCUAUAGCAAUCGCUGUAGUCUGGCUCUCAGGAAUUCCUACUCCUAGGAAAAAGGAGAGAACACUACAUCAAGGGAACACCCCAUGGUGUGUCCGGAAUUGGUGGGUUCUUGGUCUCACUGACUUCAAGAAUGAAGCCACGGACCCUUGCGGUGAGUGUUACAGCUCUUAAGGUGGCAUGUCUGGAGUUUGUUCCUUCUGAUGUUUGGAUGUGUUCGGAGUUUCAUCCUUCUGGUGGGUUCGUGGUCUUGCUGGCUCAGGAGUUAAGCUGCAGACCUUCGCUGUGUUACAGCUCUUAAGGCAGCGCGUCUGGAGUUGUUCUUUCCUCCCCGUGGGCUCCUGGUCGCGCUGGCUUCAGGAGGGAAGCUGCAGACUUUCCCAGUGAGUGUUAAGCUCAUAAAAGCAGCGUGGACUCAAAGAGUGAGCAGUAGCAAGAUUUAUUGCAAAGAGCAAAAGAACAAAGCCUCCAAAGUGUGGGAGGGGACCCGAGCAGGUUGCCACUGCUGGCUGGGGCAGCCUGCUUUUAUUCUCUUAUCUGGCCCCACCCACAUCCUGCUGAUUGGUAGAGCUGACUGGUCUGUUUUGACAGGGUGCUGAUUGGUGCAUUUACAAUCCCUGAGCUAGACACAAAGGUUCUCUACGUCCCCACUAGAUUAACUAGAUACAGAGUGUGGACACAAAGGUUCUCCAAGGCCCCACCAGAGCAGCUAGAUACAGAGUGUGGAUUGGUGCACUCACAAACUCUGAGCUAGACACAGGGUGCUGAUUGGUGUGUUAACAAACCUUGAGCUAGAUACACAGUGUCCAUUGGUGUAUUUACAAUCCCUGAGCUAGACAUAAAGGUUCUCCACCUCUCCACCAGGCUCAGGAGCCCAGCUGGCUUCACCCAGUGGAUCCCGCACUGGGGCUGCAGGUAGAGCUGCCUGCCAGUCCCGCCCGGUGCACCCACACUCCUCAGCUCUUGGGUGUCAGGGGACUAGGCACCGUGGAGCAGGGGGCGGCCCUCAUCGGGGAGGCUCGGGCGGCACAGGAGCCCACGGAGUGGAUGGGAGGCUCAGGCAUGGCAGGCUGCAGGUCCCGAGCCCUGCCCCGCGGGAAGGCAGCUAAGGCCCCGCGAGAAAUCGAGCGCAGCGCCGACGGACGGGCCGGCACUGCUGGGGGACCCAGUACACCCUCCGCAGCCACUGGCCCGGGUGCUAAGCCCCUCAUUGCCCGGGGCCGGCAGGGCUGGCCGGCCGGCUGCUCCGAGUGCGGAGCCCGCCAAGCCCACGCCCACCCGGAACUCCAGCUGGCCCGCAAGCGACGCACUCAGCCCCGGUUCCCGCUGGCGCCUCUCCCUCCACACCUCCCUGCAAGCUGAGGGAGUGGGCUCCGGCCUCAGCCAGCCCAGAAAGGGGCUCCCACAGUGCAGCGGUGGGCUGAAGGGCUCCGCAAGUGCCGCCAAAGUGGGAACCCAGGCAGAGGAGGAGCCUAGAGCGAGCGAGGGCUGUGAGGACUGCCAGCAUGCUGUCAUCUCUCAAUGGGACAAAAUAAUCCAGACAGCAGCCCUUGAUUCCCAUAUCUUUCUGCUGGUGGGAAGUGUCUUACAGCAGAGACACAGUUGCAGUGCUGGAGUCUGCAUCUCUAACCCAACAGUCAGACAGCCUUCGUACUUAUGAAGGGUCUUGAAGAAGGGGUUCUUGUUCUUCCCUUAUCUACCACUGCAGACACCGCUGAGGUUUCUCUCAUAGGAACUCAGUGUAAAUGCACCUAUGGAGAGCCUUCCUGAAACAAUUCGGGGUGAUUGCAUCCUCACAGGAGGAGCAAUCCCCAGGAUCAGGCUCGCAGAAGAGGGAAAGUCACAGUUCCUUUCAACCUGGAACAUUAACAUUCUUAUAGAUAAGAAGAGGUGUCUGUCUGAUCUGAAUAGCCAGAACACUGGGACAGGAGUGAGGUUGGGAGGUGGAUAAAUUUUCUUCUAGCCUGGCAGGGGAGCUGAAAUAGCUCUCACUCUUCACUCUGAUGAAACCUCAGUACAUCUAAUUGAGAACUCCCCUAGCCACUUUCAUCAAGGUGGGGACCUCUACCAAACAUUAGGCAUUGCAUCUACCCACCUUGUUUAGCUACAAACAGUUCCUACCCAGGGGUACCUCUCUUACUCCCCUGAAGCUUGAAUUAUCAACUCAGUAAAUCAAAUACUGAGGAAAAAAUAAAUAAAUAAAUGAAGUGCACACCAUGGGGGGAGAAUGAGAUGACGUUCAAGAGAUCCUUGCAUUUCAACCCCAUAGGAGACAGUGAACUUUUCCACACACCAAGUACAUACUACUACAGCCAGCAUCUAAAAAAGCCAGCACACCAUGACUCUCUCAAGGAACCUAUAUAAAAUUUUCACUUCUAAAAGCAUCAAAUUAGGCUAUAACAAACUAUAAACAUUAAAGUCACAUCCUUAAGAGGGGAAAAAAAGAAAUAUAAAAAACACAGUCAAAUUAAAAAUAAAGUCAAGAAUAAUUUGAAUAAAUGGCCUAUCCAAAUAAGAAGGAAGCAGAAAAGUAAUUCUGGUAAUAUGACAAAACAGGGUUCUGAGACAUCCCCAAAAGAUCACACUAGCUCUCCAGCAAUGGAUCCAAACGAAGAUGAAAUAUUUGAAAUGCUAUAUAAAAAAUUCAGAAGGUUGAUUAUUAAGCUAGUCAAGGAGAUACCAGAGAAAUGUGAAAACCAACACAGAGAAAUUUAAAAGCAAUUCAGGAUAUGAAAGAAAAUUUUCACAGACAGAUAGAAAUCAUAAAGAAAAAACAAUCAGAACUUCUGGAAAUGAAAGGCACAUUUAGGGAAAUGCAAAAUGCAGUGGAAAGUUUCAAUAGACUGGAACAGCAGUAAGAAAGAAUUUCAGAGCUCAAAGACAAGGCUUUUGAUUAAUCAGACAAAGAUUUUAAAAUAAGAAUAAAAAAUAAACGAGUAAAGCCUCCAAUAAAUAUCGGAUUAUUUAAAGUAGCCAACCCUAAGAAUAAUUGGUGUUCCUGAGAGAGAAGAGAAGGCUAAAAGUUUGGAAAAUGUAUUUGAGGGAAAAACUGAGGAAAACUUUUCUGACCUUGCUAGAGAUUUAGGCAUUCAAAUACAUGAAGCUCAAAGAAUUCCUGGGAAAUUUAUGGCAAAAAAUAUCACCACCAAAGAUCACCGAGGCACAUAGUCAUCAGGCUAUCUAAAGUUAACAUGAAAGAAUGAAUUCUAAGGGCUGUGAGGCAAAAGUAUCAGGAAGCCCACUCAGAAAAACCUUUCAGACUAACAGCAGACUUCUCAGUAGAAAACUUACAAACUAGAAGGAAUUAGGACCCUAUCUUUAGCCUACUUAAGAAGAAUAAUUUUCAGCCAAGAAUUUUGUAUCCAACAAAACUAAUCUUCGUAAAUGAAGGAGACACAAAAUCUUUCUCAGACAAACAAAUGCUGAGGGAAUCUGCCACUACCAAACCAGCACUACAAGAAGUGCCAAGAAGAAUUCUAAAUCUUGAAACAGAAGCUCCAUAUGCACUAAAAUAUAAACUCCCAAAAGCAUAAAACUUACAGGGCCUAUAAAAGAAUAACACAAUGAAGAAAACAAAGUAUCCAUGUGACAACUAAUAUGAUUCAUAGUUCAGUAUCUCACAUCUCAAUAUUAAUGUUAAAUGUAAAUCACCUAAAUGCCCCACUUAAAAGAUACAGAAUUACAGAAUGGAUUAAAAAAUGCAACAAAUCAAAUAUCUGCUGUCUUCAAAGAGAACUACCUAACACAUAAGGAUUUAUAUAAACUCAAGGUAUGGGAUGGAAAAAUAUAUUCCAUGCAAAUGGAAACCAAAAACAAACAUAAGUAACUAUUCUUAUAUGAGACAAAACAGACUUUAAAGCAACAACAGUCAAUGAAAAAAAUAGACAAAGAAAGACCUUAUAUAAUGAUAAAAGGAUCAGUUCGACAAGAAGACAUUACAAUUCUAAAUUUAUAUGCAGCAACAUUGGAGCUCCCAGAUUUAUAAAACUAUUACUACUAGACCUAAGAAAUGAGAUACACAGCAACACAAUAGUAGUAGGGGACUUAAAUAUUCCACUGACAGCACUAAACAAAUCAUUGAGACAGAAAGUCAACAAAGAAACAAUGAACUUAAACUAUACCCUAGAACAAAUGCACUUAACAGAUAGUUACAGACCUUUCCUCUCAACAACUGCAAAAUAUAAUUCUUCUCAUCAGCACAUGGAACAUUCUCCAAGAUAGACCAUAUAAUAGCCCACAAAACAAGUCUCAAUAAAUUUAAGAAAAUUUAAAUCAUAUUAAAUAUCUUGUACAUCACAGUGGAAUAAAACUGGAAAUCAACUCCAAAGGAAACCCUCAAAAUUAUACAAAUACAUGGAAAUUCAAUAAUCUGCUAUUAAAUGAUUGUUGGGUUAAUGAUGAAAUCAAGAUGGAAAUUUAAAAAUUAUUUGAAAUGAAUGAUAACAGUGACAGAAGUUAUCAAACCCUGUGGGAUACAGUAAAAGCAAUGCUAAAAGGAAAGUACCUAGUGUUAAAUGCCUACAUCAAAAAGCCUGAAAGAGUACAACUUGACAACCUUAUGUAACACCUCAAGGAACUACAGAAACAAGAACAAACCCAAAGCCAGCAGAAGAAAAGAAAUGACAAAGAUUGGAGCAGAACUAAAUGAAAUUGAAACAAACCAAUACAAAAGUUAAAUGAAACAAAAAUAUGGCUCUUUGAAAAGAUCAAUAAUAUUGAUAGACCAUUAGUGAGAUUAACCAAGAAGAGAGAAAACCCAAACAAGCUCAAUUAGAAAUGAAACUAGAGAUAUUACAACUGAUACCACAGAAAUACAAAGGAUUAUUCAAGACUGCUUAAGAACACCUUUACAUACACAAACUAGAAAAUUUAGAGAAAAUGGAAAAAAUUCUGGAAACAUAUAACCCUCCGAGAUUAAAUCAGGAAGAAACAGAAACCCUGAACAGGCCAAUAACAAGCAGCAUAAUUAAAUCAGUAAUACAAAUGCUGACAACAACAACAACAACAAAAUCCAAGGCCAGGUGGAUUCACAGCUGAAUUCUACCAGACAUUCGAAGAAUAAUUGUACCAAUCCUACUGAAACUAUUCCAAAAGAGAAAGAAAGAGGGGUUCUUCCUUAAAUCAUUUUAUGAAGCCAGUAUCACCCUAGUACCAAAACCAGGAAAAACCAUAACAAAAAAGAAAACUACAAACUAAUAUCCCUGGUAAACAUAGAUGCAAAAAUCCUCAACAAAAUACUAACUGAAUCCAAUAACACAUCAUAAAGAUAAUAUAUCAUGAUCAAGUGGAUUUUAUCCCAGUGAGGCAGGGAUGGUUUAACAUACAUAAGUCAAUAAAUGUGAUACAUCACAUAAACAGAAUUAAAAACAAAAACCAUACAAUCAUCUCAAUAGACACAGAAAAAGAAUUUGAUAAAAUUCAGUGUCCCUUUAUGAUAAAAACCCUCUACAAAACAGGCAUGGAAAUGACUAACCUCAAAGUAAUAAAAGCCAUGUAUGACCAUCCCAGAGCCAACAUCAUACUGAAUGGGGAAAAGUUGAAAGCAUUCCGCCUGAGAACUGGAACAAGACAAAGAUGUCCACUGUCACCACUUCUCUAAACAUAGUACUGGAAGUCUUAUCCAGAAUAAUCAGACAAGAUAAAGAAAUAAAAGGCAUCUAAAUUGGAAAAGAGGGAGUCAAACUGUCACUGUUUGCUGAUGAUAUGAUUGUAUACCUAAAAACCCUGAAGACUCAUUCAAAAGGCUCCUAGAUCUGAUAAAUAAAUUCAGUAAUGUCUCAUGUUACAGAAUCAUUGUACACAAAUCAGUAGCACUGCUAUACACCAAUGGCAACUAAGCUGAGAAUCAAAUAAAGAACGAAAUCCUUUUACAACAGCUGCAAAAAAGAAAUAAAAUACCUAGGAAUACACUUAACCAAGGAGGUGAAAGAUCUGUACAAGGAAAACUACAGAAAAUGGCUGAAAGAAAUCAUCGAUGAUGCAAAACAAUGGAAACAAACCCCAUGCUCGUGGAUGGGAAGAAUCAAUAUUGUGAAAAUGACCAUACCGCCCAAAGCAAUCUACUGAUUCAAUGCAAUUUCCAUCAAAAUACCAUCAUCAGUUUUCACAGAACUAGAAAAAAGCAAUUAUAAAAUUCAUAUGGAACCAAAACAGAGCCUGCAUAUAAAAAGGAAUAUUAAGCAAAAAGAACAAAUUUGGAGGGAUCACAUUAUCCGACUUCACAUUAAACUACAAGGCUAUCGUUGCCAAAACAGCAUGGUUCUGGUAUAAAAAUAGGCACUUAGACCAAUGGAACAGAAUACAGAACCAAGAAAUAAAGCCAAAUACUCUCAGUCAAUUGAUCUUUGACAAAGCAUACAAAAACAUAGAUUGAGGAAAGGACACUCUAUUCAGUACAUUGUGCUGGGAAAACUGGCCAGCCACAUAUAGAAGAAUGAAACUGGAUUCCCAUCUCUCACCUUCCAAAAAUUAACUCAAAUGGAUCAAAGACUUAAAACUAAGACUUCAGUGAAACCAUAAAAAUUCUAGAAAGUAACAUUGGAAAAACUCUUCCAGACAUUGGACUAGGCAAAGAAUUCAUAGCUAAGAGCCCAAAAGCAAAAGCAAUAAAAACAAAAAUAAAUAAAUAAGACUGAAUUAAAUUAAAAAGCUCUGCACAGCAAAAUAAAUAAUUAGCAGAAUAAACAAACAACCCACAGAGUUGGAGAAAAAAUUUGCAAACUCUGCAUCUGACAAAGUUCUACUAUCUGGAAUCUACAAGGAAUCCAAACAAAUAAGCAAGGAAAAAAUGAAAUAAUCCCAUCAAAAAGGAUAUAAAUAGAUAUUUCUUAAACGAAGAUAUCCAGGCCAGGCACGGUGGUUCAUGGCUGUAAUCCUAGCACUUUGGGAGGGCGAGGUGGGUAGAUCACAAGGUCAAGAGAUCGAAACCAUCCUGGCCAACAUGGUGAAACCCCGUCUCUACUAAAAAUACAAAAAUCAGCUGGGCGUGAUGGUGCAUGCCUGUAGUCCUAGCUUCUUGGGAGGCUGAGGCAGGAGAAUCACUUGAACCUGGGAGGUGGAGGUUGCAAUGAGCCAAGAUCGCAUCAUUGCACUCCAGCCUGGGUGACAGAGCCACACUCCGUCUCAAAAAAAAAAAAAAAAAGAUAUCCAAACAGCUAACAAGCAUAUGCAAAAUGUUCAACAUCACUAAUUAUCAGGGAAAUGAAAAUUAAAAUCACAAUGAGAUACCACCUUACUCCUGUAUGAAUUGACAUAAUUAAAAGGUCAAAAAACUAUAGAUGUUGAUAUGAAUCAGGUGAAAAGGGAAUACGGCUACACUGCUGGUAGGAAUGUAAAUUAGUACAACCACCAUGGAAAACAAUAUGGAGAUUUAUUAAAGAAGUAAAAGUAGAUACACCACUUGAUCCAGCAAUCUCAUUACUAACUACACAAACAAAAAGAAGCCAUUAUUUGAAAAAGACACAUACACACGCAUGUUCACAAUUGCAAAGAUACAAACCAAACUACAUGCUCAUCAACAAAUGAGUAGAUUUAACAAAUGUGGCAUAUAUACACCAUGGAAUACUACUCAACCAUAUAAAGAAUGAAAAUAAAGUAUUUGGAGCAACUUAGGUGAAGCUGGAGGCCAUUAUUCCAAGUGAAGUAACUCAGGAAUGGAAAGCCAAAUACCACAUGUUCUCACUUUUAAGUGGGAGCUAAGCUAUGAGGAUGCAAAGACAUACAGAAUGAUAUAAUGAGCUUUGAGGACUAAGGUAGGGGAGGUUAGGAGGGGUGUGAGCAAUAAAAGACUACAUAUUUUGUAUAGUGUACACUGCUUGGGUGACAGGUGCACUAAAAUAUCAGAAUAACCAAAAAUCAACUGUACCCCCAAUACUAUUAAAAUAAAAAUAAUAGUAAUAGUAAUAAAGAAAACAAAUCAUUCUACCAAAAAGACACAUGCACUUGUAUCUUCAUCACAGUGCUACUCACAUUAGCAAAGACAUGGUAUCAACUUAGAUGCUCAUCAGUGGUGGACACGAUAAAGAAAAUGUGGUGCCUAUAAACCAUGGAAUACUACACAGCUAUAAAAAAGGAUAAAAUCAUGCCCUUUGCAGCAAUAUGGAUGUAGCUGGAGGCCCUUAUCCUAAGCAAACUAAUGAAGAAACAAAAACCAAAUACCACAUGUUCUCACUUAUAAAUGGGAAGUAAACAUUAAGUAAAUAUGGAUAUAAAGAUGGUAAGAAUAGACACUGGUGACAAAUAGAAGGGAGACAGAGGGAGAGGGAUGAGAGUUGAAAAACUACCUCUUGGGUACUAUGCUCAGUACUGGGAUGACAGAAUCAUUUGUACCCCAAAUCUGAGCAUCAAGCAAUAUACACAGGUAUCAAAACUGCACAUGUAGCCUCUGAAUCUAACAUCUCUUCUAGAACAAAAUUUCAUGAUAUUUUUAAAGAAAAUGCUUGUGGUAUAGUUUAUGGCAUAGUCUCACUGGCUUGUUGCUGAGUUGGGUUUUGUAAUGAACAGACUUAUGAGUUACUGUAUAAUUAAAUUUUAAUGAAAUUUAUAAAUGCAAAUGUUAUCUCAAAAAUCCAAAUAGAUCCAAUAAAUAUUAUUAAAGUUCUUUAAUGAGCAUGUGGGUAUCUGUAUGUGAAAAGAGUAUCAUCAAUACAUCUUAUACCUGAAUUCCAAAGGACAACUAAAUUGGGAUUGAGAUUUUAUCUAUAUAGUUUAUAUGUGAUGUCUGGACUAUUCAGGUAUUAUGGGAUGCUGAGUAAAGGUGCAUUGUUUCUCUUUGAA